rnacentral:RNase_P_RNA from 1 species
CCAGAUAUUCGGCUGAUCGCCCCUCACCUUUUCUGACUAUCCAUAUAAUUUAGAGAUAAUCGGAAAUGGUGAGGGGAGGAAAGUCCGGGCAACAUAGGGGAUGACAGUUGCUAACGGCAACCGGGGGUAACCCUAGGGAAAGUGCCACAGAAACGAAACCGCCGGUUUUCCGGUAAGGAUGAAACGAGUGGGGUAAGAGCCCACAGUCGUGCAUGGUGACAUGCAUGGGAGGUAAACCCUGUCUGUUGCAAGGAGAUAAGUCUCAUUAAGGUCCCCGCCGAGGCUUGUCACAAAAACCGCUUGAUCGCUUGAGCAAUUGAGCGACUAGAUAGAUGAUCGGCUAGAACAGAACCCGGCUUAUGGAUUAUCUGGCACU